rfam:Gossypium raimondii Chr03_contig_244, whole genome shotgun sequence.
UGUUAAAAUUUUUAUUUAUUUGUAUUGUUAGCUAAUUGAAUAACUAGACAGUGACACAUGGCGUGUCACAUGUACCUUAUGUUGACGUACAUGGAUUAGUUUUUAACAGUAAAAAUGGAUGAAAUUUUUAACA